CAGAUAGAAGGUUAUAAAGAGGUGGUGCCAAGAGGGACAAAAGAUUCUCAUAAUUGUAUUUUCCAGCAAUUUUUUUCUUUUAAUUCUGUGCUCUUCAAAAACUACAGGAGUGACUGCAUGUAAAUAGACCUCUCUGAUGGAUGGCUGAUUGCCAUUGACUCUUUGCAAAUUUAAUCCAUUAAGUGCCUCCUAUAGAAAGAGAAUACAAUGCCCUACAAUGCAGAGGGUCAACCUUAGAAAAUAAAACACAACCUGAAUGGGGCAGUGCAAGAAGAGAAAUCCACACAGCCUCUGAUGGAAGGAAGCCAUUCAGGCAACAAUCAGGCUCUUAUCUUGGGCUUCUUAUCAUUAACCAGAGGAGCCUGUGCUGGAAAUGAAAUUCAGAGGCACGGCCAGGAAAGGCUGUUUCCCUAAUUGAGCGGCUGCCUUUUGAAAUCUUGUCUCCCCAGCGGAGCCUGGAGCUGGCUAGGUCUCCCUGGCCAAGAUCACUCAUUGUGUAAUCUCUCACACACCAGGAGCAGAUGCUCCUCGACUGGAGCUUUUAUGAAAGGCCUUUAAUAAGGCUUCUCAACCUGCCACACGUUGGGCAGCCAGAGGGAGGGGCAGUUUUCAGAAAAGCCUCUGAUCAAGGAGUUCAAGACUCUAGACGCGUUUGGGCUUUGCCGUCAGAUGUACUUCAGUCAAGAUUCUGCAGUUUGGGGGAAUUCUCAGCACCCUGAGGGGACUUCCCAUUUCAUCCCCUCCCUUGCUUUCCCCUGCCUUGCCUUCACAGGGUUGUGGUCAAGUUUAAAUGGCAUUGUGUAUAGAAAGGACUUGACGCAGAUUAAGGGUGUAGUAAAUAAUAUUACAAUAAAUGUAUUCUGUUGACUUACUGGGGUCCUAUCAUUCUCCAUCAUCCAUUGCUGGUCUCUAUCCCUUGGCUA
rnacentral:lncRNA from 1 species